CCUACGGGAGGCAGCAGUGGGGAAUAUUGGACAAUGGGCGAAAGCCCGAUCCAGCCAUGCCGCGUGUGUGAAGAAGGCCUUCGGGUUGUAAAGCACUUUCAGUGGGGAAGAAAGCCUUGGGGCUAAUACCCUCGAGGAAGGACAUCACCCACAGAAGAAGCACCGGCUAACUCCGUGCCAGCAGCCGCGGUAAUACGGAGGGUGCGAGCGUUAAUCGGAAUUACUGGGCGUAAAGCGCGCGUAGGCGGUCUGAUAAGCCGGUUGUGAAAGCCCCGGGCUCAACCUGGGAACGGCAUCCGGAACUGUCAGGCUAGAGUGCAGGAGAGGAAGGUAGAAUUCCCGGUGUAGCGGUGAAAUGCGUAGAGAUCGGGAGGAAUACCAGUGGCGAAGGCGGCCUUCUGGACUGACACUGACGCUGAGGUGCGAAAGCGUGGGUAGCAAACAGGAUUAGAUACCCGAGUAGU
rnacentral:rRNA from 1 species